GAUGAAGAACGUAGCGAAAUGCGAUACGUAAUGUGGAUUGCAGAAUUCAGUGAAUCAUCGAAUCUUUGAACGCAUAUUGCGCUCUCUGGUAUUCCGGAGAGCAUGCUUGUUUGAGUAUCAGUAAACACCUCAACUCUUUUUUCUUUUUUGAAAUUGGAGCUGGACUUGAGUGAUCCCAACGCUUUCUUCCAAGAAAGUGGCGGGUUGCUUGAAAUGCAGGUGCAGCUGAACUUUUCUCUGAGCUAUAAGCAUAUCUAUUUAGUCUGCCUAAAAAACAGAUUAUUACCUUUGCUGCAGCUAACAUAAAGGAGACUAGUUCUUGUGCUGACUGAUGCAGGAUUCACAGAGACAGCUUCGGCUGACUUUGUAAACUCGAUCUCAAAUCAAGUAAGACUACCCGCUGAACUUAAGCAUAUCAAUAAGCGGAGGA
rnacentral:misc_RNA from 1 species